UUGAACGCUGGCGGCAUGCCUUACACAUGCCAGUCGCACGGUAACGGGCCUUCGGGUGCCGACGAGUGGCGAACGGGUGAGUAAUACAUCGGAACGUGCCCGAUCGUGGGGGAUAACGAGGCGAAAGCUUUGCUAAUACCGCAUACGAUCUACGGAUGAAAGCAGGGGACCGCAAGGCCUUGCGCGGACGGAGCGGCCGAUGGCAGAUUAGGUAGUUGGUGGGAUAAAAGCUUACCAAGCCGACGAUCUGUAGCUGGUCUGAGAGGAUGAUCAGCCACACUGGGACUGAGACACGGCCUAGACUCCUACGGGAGGCAGCAGUGGGGAAUUUUGGACAAUGGGCGCAAGCCUGAUCCAGCCAUGCCGCGUGCAGGAUGAAGGCCUUCGGGUUGUAAACUGCUUUUGUACGGAACGAAAAGCCUUCUUUUAAUACAGGAGGGUCAUGACGGUACCGUAAGAAUAAGCACCGGCUAACUACGUG
rnacentral:rRNA from 1 species